GUGAGGAAUAUUGGUCAAUGGGGGCAACCCUGAACCAGCCAAGUCGCGUGAAGGAUGAAGGUCUUAUGGAUUGUAAACUUCUUUUACACGGGAAUAAAGUGGGGGACGUGUCCCCCUUUGCAUGUACCGUGUGAAUAAGGAUCGGCUAACUCCGUGCCAGCAGCCGCGGUAAUACGGAGGAUCCGAGCGUUAUUCGGAUUUAUUGGGUUUAAAGGGUGAGCAGGCGGGAUGUUAAGUCGGCGGUGAAAUUUUGCAGCUCAACUGUAAAAGUGCCUUCGAUACUGGCCUCCUUGAGUGUGGAUGAAGUAGGCGGAAUUUGUGGUGUAGCGGUGAAAUGCUUAGAUAUCACGAGGAACUCCGAUUGCGCAGGCAGCUUACUAAGCCACAACUGACGCUCAUGCACGAAGGCGUGGGGAUCAAACA
rnacentral:rRNA from 1 species